CAAUAUGGAUCGCUCCCCAAAUUGGCCCCGAGAGGUUAGGCAGAGGGAGACGCUGGGAGCAGACAGGGAGCCAGCGAGCGCUAAUGCGUUCCCGCCCUGCCCUGGGAGCGCUGUCUGGUCUGCACUCGGGAGACUAGGGGUCAGCAAUCCACCGCCCUCCAGAAGUUUUGGGCCGCAGCUCCCCAACUCCCGUCAGGCUGGCCCGCGCUCAUCGCGAUCAUCGGCUGUUAUUGCGGGUGGGGGUGGGGGUUAAUGCCCCCAGCAUCUGAAAGCCUAAAGUUGCCUGGCUGAGUUCAAUUGCUCCCUACCCUCCCCAUCACUGAAAAAGAAGGGGAAAAGACCCAUCUAGCCUGCAGAUCUCAGGUGAGCAGGAGCUGGGACUAGCCACGGGAGCUCACCCCGUCGCGCGGAUUCGGACCGCCAACCUUCCGAUCGGCAAGCUCAGCAGCGCAGCGGU